UUGAUAAAUCAGAAUUUAAAAUAAAAACACAGAUAAAAGAAAAUUGAACAUCAUGAAAUGCUGACACCGAUAGCCAAUAAAUUGAUAAAAUUUGAAUCUUGCUUCAACAGUUUCAAUUGACUGCUAUAAACGUUACAACAUGAAAAUCGUACUACUAUUUGGAAUCCUCGCUAUUUUUGCGGUCUGUGCUCAAGCUGCCAUUCACCAGUGGGGUGAAGUUGGACCAAGAGAUUAUCUCAUUGCGAAAGAAAAAGUUAAAAAAUCGAGUAUUAUAGGUUUUACUUGUUCGAAAAAAUAUAUUUUCAAACAAGAUAAAAAUGAUUCAAUGACCAUUUCGGCAAUUCGUGUUACUGAUCGGAAAGACAAGUACACUGCGGUGGUAAAUCUAUUGCAUGGAGGAAUUGGAUCAAAAGGUGCUACUUUGGAAUUCAAGUCUAAACGGAGUGAAAACAUAAACUGCCUAGUUGAAAUUUAGGGACGAUAAUAUAUUUCACAUUGCUGUCUUUUUAUUGUAAAUUUUCAUAUGUUAGAAAAUAUAUACAUUUUGUUAAUAAAUUGAAAGUCUUGUGACUGAAAUUUCUGAAAUUUCAGAAAUAUUUCAUGAAGAACA